CCAGACUCCUACGGGAGGCAGCAGUGGGGAAUAUUGCACAAUGGGGGAAACCCUGAUGCAGCAACGCCGCGUGAAGGAAGACGGUUUUCGGAUUGUAAACUUCUGUUCUUAGUGAAGAAGAAUGGCGGUAGCUAAGGAGCAAGCCACGGCUAACUACGUGCCAGCAGCCGCGGUAAUACGUAGGUGACAAGCGUUGUCCGGAUUUACUGGGUGUAAAGGGCGCGUAGGCGGAUGUGCAAGUCAGUCGUGAAAUACCGGGGCUCAACCCCGGGGCUGCGAUUGAAACUGCACACCUUGAGUAUCGGAGAGGAAAGCGGAAUUCCUAGUGUAGCGGUGAAAUGCGUAGAUAUUAGGAGGAACACCAGUGGCGAAGGCGGCUUUCUGGACGACAACUGACGCUGAGGCGCGAAAGUGUGGGGAGCAAACAGGAUUAGAUGCCCCCGUA
rnacentral:rRNA from 1 species